CAUUAUAGAUAUUUGAAAGCAAACAGAGAGAUCCAAGACGGCUGAUCACUAGCAGCUCGGGAUUGUAGCUCCCAGUGAAAGCGCAGAGAACGAGAGGACGCCACACUUUCAGACGAA